rnacentral:rRNA from 1 species
AGAGUUUGAUCAUGGCUCAGGACGAACGCUGGCGGCGUGCCUAACACAUGCAAGUCGAGCGGUCUCGCCUAUAGCAAAAGGCCUUCGGGCUUCGAGCAAAGGCGAGAUAGCGGCGGACGGGUGAGUAACGCGUGGCUUAUCUGUCCCAGGGAGGGGGAUAACGUCUGGAAACGGGCGCUAAUACCCCAUAUGCCGGUGAGGUAAAAAGGAGAAAUCCGCCCUGGGGUGAGGCCGCGUCCUAUCAGCUAGUUGGUGAGGUAACGGCCCACCAAGGCUAUGACGGGUAGCCGGCCUGAGAGGGCGGCUGGCCACACUGGGAUUGAGAUACGGCCCAGACUCCUACGGGAGGCAGCAGUGGGGAAUAUUGGGCAAUGGGGGAAACCCUGACCCAGCGACGCCGCGUGGAGGAAGGAGCCCUUCGGGGUGUAAACUCCUGUUGUAAGGGAAGAAGACAGUGACGGUACCUUACGAGGAAGCCCCGGCAAACUACGUGCCAGCAGCCGCGGUAACACGUAGGGGGCGAGCGUUGUCCGGAAUCACUGGGCGUAAAGCGCACGCAGGCGGAUGCGCGCGUCGGCUGUGAAAUGCACCGGCUCAACCGGUGCACUGCGGUCGAUACGGCGCGUCUGGAGUGCGGGAGAGGGAAGCGGAAUUCCCGGUGUAGCGGUGAAAUGCGUAGAUAUCGGGAGGAACGCCGGUGGCGAAGGCGGCUUCCUGGCCCGCAACUGACGCUCAUAUGCGAAAGCCAGGGGAGCGAACCGGAUUAGAUACCCGGGUAGUCCUGGCCGUAAACGAUGGACGCUAGGUGUGGGCGGUUUAUCCGUCUGUGCCGAAGUUAACGCGUUAAGCGUCCCGCCUGGGGAGUACGAUCGCAAGGGUUGAAACUCAAAUGAAUUUGACGG